CCGAGCGAACCUUGCAUAAUGCGUCAAGGGAAACUAUUGGUCGAGCGAGACAUUUGUUCAGGGUAAUAGGGAACAGCAGUGUUCAGCACUGUGUCAUUCUUGCUUGGUGCCAUCACCUCAGUUGUCUCUGGCUUACCAUCCGUGUACUUUACUAAAAUUUGAUCGGUGCAGUGAGCAUGCGAGCGCAACAAGUGCAGCCGCAGCGGCGCGGUGAGGGCAGCCGCAACGAGCGCAGCGGCAUGGCUAAUAAAAAAAUAAAAAAACUGCCACCUCUAAGUAGAUAUGUAUCAGAAUGUACAAAUUCAUAUUUAUUGUUUUGUUUAUGCGUUUAAUCGUUUGAUUAACGACUC